rnacentral:rRNA from 1 species
UACGGAGGGGGCUAGCGUUGUUCGGAAUUACUGGGCGUAAAGCGCGCGUAGGCGGCUUUGUAAGUUAGAGGUGAAAGCCCGGAGCUCAACUCCGGAACUGCCUUUAAGACUGCAUCGCUAGAAUUGUGGAGAGGUAAGUGGAAUUCCGAGUGUAGAGGUGAAAUUCGUAGAUAUUGGGAAGAACACCGGUGGCGAAGGCGGCUACUCUGGACCGAUACUGACGCUGAGG